rnacentral:ncRNA from 2 species
UUUAGACAUUUCGAGUUGGGUCGAUGCCCAAGCCAACCUGCCUACCCGGGCAAGGUGGAUUGCGAAAGCAAAUGUGGCUCCCUUUGGAGCAACCAAGCGGGGCGCA